rnacentral:rRNA from 1 species
GUGGGGAAUAUUGGACAAUGGGCGAAAGCCUGAUCCAGCCAUGCCGCGUGUGUGAAGAAGGUCUUCGGAUUGUAAAGCACUUUAAGUUGGGAGGAAGGGCAGUAAGUUAAUACCUUGCUGUUUUGACGUUACCGACAGAAUAAGCACCGGCUAACUUCGUGCCAGCAGCCGCGGUAAUACGAAGGGUGCAAGCGUUAAUCGGAAUUACUGGGCGUAAAGCGCGCGUAGGUGGUUCAGCAAGUUGGAGGUGAAAUCCCCGGGCUCAACCUGGGAACUGGCUCCAAAACUACUGAGCUAGAGUACGGUAGAGGGUAGUGGAAUUUCCUGUGUAGCGGUGAAAUGCGUAGAUAUAGGAAGGAACACCAGUUGCGAAGGCGACUACCUGGACUGAUAAUGACACUGAGGUGCGAAAGCGUGGGGAGCAAACAGGAUUAGAUACCCCAGUAGUCC